GGUUGAAAUAAUAAAAUGAUUGCAUCGGAUGAUACUGACACGUCUGGUGCGGAGGAAAAAACACCAGGGAAAAUUGACCAGAAAAAAUCCAAAAAGCAUAAAAAAUAUAAAAAGCACAAGAAGUCUAAUCGUGAUGAAAAAAACGAUAAACUCAAGCCGAAAAAACACAAAAAGAACAAGCGGAAGCAUCGCGAGGAAGAGGGCGAAAUUUCAGAUUCGGAAGAAGACAACGAAGAGACCAUUAAAAGUUCGUCUAAGAUUGACAUACGGAAGCUGGAACACGCUAUCCGUGUUAAACCCAAAGAUGACGACAAUAAGCCCAAAGACAAUGGAAAUCUGAAAGCAUCUCUUGAAAAGCGUAAAUCAUCGUUGGUGCCGGAAAUAUCAACCGAUCCGGAGCAAUUAGUCGCCAUCUUGACUCAAUCGUUGGACAAGGGCAAACCAGUUGGUGAUAAGCCAGAUGUUGUUUCGGUGGAAAGUGAUAGCGAUGGAACGGCUGUGGAGGAUGUGCCCAGUCCGGAUGUAGCUGUUAUCGAGGAUGAACUGAAUCUGGAAGAUUUGAUGCGACAAAAGGCUUUGCUGCAGGCUUGUUUAGGCGAAUUCGGCUCCGAAGAUGAAGAAGAGGAAACUGAACCUAGCGCAGGAACGACCACUAAACCAGACAAACGAAAGAAGAAAAAAGAUGAUGAUGUUAUUAUGAUUGAGGGCGACUCCAGCGCUGAAGAUGUAAACCGUCUGUUGAAGAAGGCUCGCCAACGUAGCCCACGCAGCCAUGAAGAGCGCAAAAGAAAGACUUCCGAUGCGGACAAGCGAAAUAGUCGUGGGGAGGCAGAUGCCAAGGCUCGAGCCAAGCAGCAAGAGUUAGAAAAAGAACGUACUCGCGAAGAACAUCGGCGACAGCGUGAACAAGAGGAACAUCGUAGAAUGGCCGAGGAACGAUACCAACGAGAGCGGGCAAGGGACAGAGAACGGGAACGGGAUCGGGAGCGUGAGAGAGAUCGAGAACGUGAAAGAGAUCGUGCAAGGGCGAGACAACGCGAAAGGGACCGUUCGAUGGAGAGGUAUCGUGAUCGACGAGGCUUGUCCAGAGAUCGACGAUCGAUGGAACGCGGAGGUGGGAACGGGAGAAUGUACAAUUCACGUGAUCGGUACCGUGGACGUAGCCGCAGCAGAGAUAGAGAUCGGGAUCGCGACGACCGGGGUCGUUAUGACCGCGAAAGGAACGAUCGCAAUGGAAGAGAUAGACGUGGCGGACCCGGUAAGCGACGUCCGGAGGACGAUAGGUUUAAAGAUUCGUUGAGUGAAGGCCUCAAGCAACAGAGGGAUUCUAGUAGUGACAGCGAUCUGGGCGACAUCGAUAUUGACGAUGAAGAAGAUGAGGAAAAGAUCAUCGAAAAGAGGAGAAAGCAACGCGAGGAGCUUUUAAAGAAACUUGGCGCAGGAAACGAAGACAGCAAUCCACCACCAGAAGCGCCAAAGGCAAUUCAAACUAAAACUGAACCAAAAGUUGUCGUCACAAAGCAUGAAAGAAGCAGUAAUCACAUGAGCAAGUCACGAAAAAAAUCAGAUGAAUAUAUCAUUAUUGACAAGCCGUCUCCGAAGGAUUCCAAACAGGCGGAGAAAUCGCCUAAUGAUUCGUUGACUCCGCCCAUGCCCAUAACUAGAGUGAGUUCCGAAGACCAAAACGACUCAUUGGAGGAGGAUAAGUCCAAACAAGACAAAGACAAAUCCAACAAACGUGCCGAAUGGGACAUGUUUGCCGAACAGGAUAUCGACUCGAACUUUGAUUCACCCAGUACGGUGGUUGCUAAUAAGCAAGGCAACGAGAAUCCCGCUCUUACUGAUAACUGGGACGACGCAGAAGGAUACUAUCGGGUGCGUAUUGGUGAAGUGCUGGACAAUCGCUAUGUGGUCGCAAACUACACAGGCCAAGGCGUUUUCAGUACGGUAGUACGUGCUAGAGAUCAAGCUCGAGGAAAUGCUUUGGUAGCUGUAAAAAUUAUAAGGAACAACGAAAUUAUGCAUAAAACCGGUCUUCGUGAGUUGGAAACUUUGAAGAAACUCAAUGAUACAGAUCCAGAGGAUCGAUACCACUGUCUCAGACUGUUUCGUCAUUUUUUCCACAAACAGCAUCUCUGCAUGGUCUUAGAACCGCUCUCUAUGAAUCUACGGGAGGUACUUAAAAAGUAUGGUAAAAACGUCGGGUUACACAUCAAAGCCGUCCGCAGCUACACGCAGCAGUUAUUGUUGGCCUUGAAGCUGCUCAAAAAAUCCAACAUCCUUCACGCCGACAUUAAGCCGGACAACAUUCUGGUCAACGACAACAAUCUGGUGCUCAAGCUGUGCGAUUUUGGUUCUGCUUCGUCGGUGGCGGACAACGAUAUUACGCCGUACUUGGUAUCACGGUUCUAUCGUGCACCGGAGAUCAUUCUCGGCCUUCCGUAUGACUACGGAAUCGACAUGUGGUCCGCCGGUUGCACCAUCUAUGAAUUGUAUACUGGCAAAAUCUUAUUUAGUGGUAAAUCAAAUAAUCAAAUGCUUAAAUUUUUCAUGGAUUUAAAGGGCAAGAUACCGAACAAAAUCAUACGGAAAGGACAGUUCAAAGACCAGCACUUCGAUGCGAACUGCAACUUCCUAUCGCACGAGAUCGACAAAAUCACGGAACGGGAAAAAGUCGUCGUCGUGUCGGUAAUCAAGCCGAACCGAGAUCUGCAACAGGAACUGAUCGCUGGGCAAAACCUACCGGAUGACCAAAUCCGCAAAGUUUCUCAACUGAAGGAUCUGCUGGACAAGGUGUUUGCACUGGAUCCGGCGAAACGGAUUUCGUUGAAUCAUGCACUGGCGCAUCCCUUCAUUCAAGACAAGAUCUAAUCAGGAUAGUUUUGUCGGGUCGGUUGGACCGCCCCUCGGAAGCGCUAAAACCGUACCAGCGUUUGUACGUUCACCGGAAUAUCAGUGUGUGUGAUAAUGUACGCGUUUGACGAUCUCUUGUUUUUACGAUGCAAAAAUAAGAGAGCACAUCGGUCACGCGCGAAGCUGGCUGGCCGCGGACGGGGCCCGGCUCAAGACACGGUCACAGUGCAGCGCAGUCCCACCAUACCUGCCUCUCUUUGUCAAUCUCAAGCCACCAAACGCAAAAUGCACUCGAGUGCUCUAAAUCUGGCCAUCUUGUGCCGAAGCGCCUAGCAUCACACCAAUCUUGUAAUCCAAAUGAUUCUACCCACAAAUUGUAGAGCGUGUUUGUGUGCGCCUAAGGUUGAGCAGUGCCUAUUUUUCUCUGGCGCCGAAAGAGGUAGUGACAUAAUUGACAUUUACAACACAACUCUCUGUUUAGUUUAUAUUUAUUAUAAUUUUCGAUCCUUCCCCCGUUACAAUAGCAAAUUUGUUUCAAUUCUAUUUGCCUCACUUUUCAAAAAAAAUGUCCAAACUGAGAGUCAACCUAGUCAUUCCUUACAGAACUAUUUUUGUGAACGAUUGAUCUUCCGCUGUUCUUUUCUUUUCUUCUAUUAUUCUUUACAGGAGCGAAAAAUAAGACGUGUGUGGUUCAUUUAUUUGGGUCCGACUCAUCGUAUUUAAAGGUAAGUCUUUGUUUUUUUUUGAAGAUUUGAACAAACUAUAGUUUCCAUUAUUAUUGGACAGCUCGUGGAGAGUAAGUGUCGUUGUGAGUUCUAUACAGCCUCAUGUUGCAAUGAAAGUUGCAUUUUGAAAUUUAUUCGCAUAACAGUGUCUCCGAAACCUGUAAGUCAUAAAAUGUAAAUAUCAUCAAUCUCAUCGCAAAGGGCCGCCCUCAAACCACGUAGACCGAAAAAUCACAUUUUCAAAAAACCCCUCCCCCUAGCAGACUUUCGUAGACUUUUCCGAAACCCCUCCCACACCCCCUUGAAGUCAUAGACUUUUUCAAAUUUUACAAAAUAUCAUAUGUGAUUGGAAAAAAUAUGGAAAUCAACCACGUUUUCAGCAAUGCAGCUAUACAAAUCCAUUUCGAAAUCCAUUGUGAACAUUACAGUAAAAUUCAAAGUUCAAACAUAACAAAAUCAAACUGAACAAAAUCCAAUACAAUAUUAG